rnacentral:rRNA from 1 species
UAGAACGCUGAAGAGAGGAGCUUGCUCUUCUUGGAUGAGUUGCGAACGGGUGAGUAACGCGUAGGUAACCUGCCUUGUAGCGGGGGAUAACUAUUGGAAACGAUAGCUAAUACCGCAUAACAAUGGAUGACCCAUGUCAUUUAUUUGAAAGGGGCAAAUGCUCCACUACAAGAUGGACCUGCGUUGUAUUAGCUAGUAGGUGAGGUAACGGCUCACCUAGGCGACGAUACAUAGCCGACCUGAGAGGGUGAUCGGCCACACUGGGACUGAGACACGGCCCAGACUCCUACGGGAGGCAGCAGUAGGGAAUCUUCGGCAAUGGGGGCAACCCUGACCGAGCAACGCCGCGUGAGUGAAGAAGGUUUUCGGAUCGUAAAGCUCUGUUGUAAGUCAAGAACGAGUGUGAGAGUGGAAAGUUCACACUGUGACGGUAGCUUACCAGAAAGGGACGGCUAACUACGUGCCAGCAGCCGCGGUAAUACGUAGGUCCCGAGCGUUGUCCGGAUUUAUUGGGCGUAAAGCGAGCGCAGGCGGUUUGAUAAGUCUGAAGUUAAAGGCUGUGGCUCAACCAUAGUUCGCUUUGGAAACUGUCAAACUUGAGUGCAGAAGGGGAGAGUGGAAUUCCAUGUGUAGCGGUGAAAUGCGUAGAUAUAUGGAGGAACACCGGUGGCGAA